CUGAGUACCUACACUCUCUACCCUUUGUGAACUAUUAUACCUGUUGCUUCGGCGGCGCCCGCAAGGGUGCCCGCCGGUCUCAUCAGAAUCUCUGUUUUCGAACCCGACGAUACUUCUGAGUGUUCUUAGCGAACUGUCA
rnacentral:misc_RNA from 1 species